UUCAAAGAACCUUAGUCGCACGCCACCAUUCUCCGGUGAAUCUCCUCUAUUCUGACGAUCGUGUUGUAGUAUCCAUCGUCCGCGUCUGACAAAGCUCAAGGAAGGUCGAGCUGCAUGUAGUCGUUUCGUGUGAAGUCUUCGACAUUGGGUUUCGAGUCGUUCGUGCAUCCUUGUAUCGUGUGACGUUCGUUCUCGAUCUCCUACGUCUGCCGACUGUCUUCAUCCUACAAUUCACGUUCGUCGGUCAAGACUCCCAAGCCGUGCGCGUUCAGUUCGUGGGCCAACCUUCUCAACCAACCCAAGUUGAUCCAUCACCACCGUUAGUGAACCGAGCUUCCCUAUCUCUCAAUCGCGUGAAGCUUGUGCUUCCUUCCAGCUGAUUUUCUCCCCAAUCGAGCCAGUUCCUCUACCUAAGCCGAGUCAGAUCCCCUCCCCAAGCCAAACUUCAUAUUUGUUAUCAUUUGAGCCAUUUGGGUAAGUUAUUGGUGAGUUUUCCAAUGGAUUUCAUAUACCCAUCAAAUCUAAAUUUUUGGACUCUAAAUAAAUUAAUUAUGGUUAUAAUUUGGAUUUUGAAGGUUCAUUUGGUUGAAAGCUUAAAUUGAGAAAUUUUUUCCAUUCAAGGUUAAAUUGGUUCAACCUCAUAUUUGGG
rnacentral:lncRNA from 1 species